AUACUUACCUGGCAGGGGAGAUACCAUGAUCACGAAGGUGGUUCUCCCAGGGCGAGGCUCAUCCAUUGCACUCCGGCCGUGCUGACCCCUGCGAUUUCCCCAAAUGCGGGAAAGUCGACUGCAUAAUUUCUGUUAGUGGGGGACUGCGUUCGCGCUUUCCCCUG
rnacentral:snRNA from 1 species